AGAGUUUGAUCCUGGCUCAGAACGAACGCUGGCGGCGUGCUUAACACAUGCAAGUUGAACGGAGUUAAUCAGCAGCACUGAGCGGUCAGGCAACUGAAAGCUGAGUGCUGUUGAUUAACUUAGUGGCGGACGGGUGAGUAACACGUAGGUAACCAACCCUAGAGCGGGGGACAACCCAGGGAAACUUGGGCUAAUACCGCAUAAGCUUACGGACUGGGAUGUCUGUAAGAAAAGGAGCAAUCCACUUUAGGAUGGGCCUGCGGCCUAUCAGGUAGUUGGUGGGGUAAAGGCCUACCAAGCCUAAGACGGGUAGCCGGACUGAGAGGUUGAACGGCCACACUGGAACUGAGACACGGUCCAGACCCCUACGGGAGGCAGCAGUGGGGAAUUUUGCGCAAUGGGCGAAAGCCUGACGCAGCGACGCCGCGUGGAGGACGAAGGUCUUCGGAUUGUAAACUCCUUUUGCAGGGGAAGAUAAUGACGGUACCCUGCGAAUAAGCCACGGCUAACUCUGUGCCAGCAGCCGCGGUAAGACAGAGGUGGCAAGCGUUGUUCGGAAUUACUGGGCUUAAAGGGCGCGUAGGCGGUGGAGUAAGUCCGGGGUGGAAGUCUAAGGCUCAACCUUAGGAUUGCCCUGGAAACUGCAUCACUUGAGUAAGCGAGGGGAUGGC
rnacentral:rRNA from 1 species